rnacentral:rRNA from 1 species
UAACCUGCCCAAGAGAUCGGGAUAACACCUGGAAACAGAUGCUAAUACCGGAUAACAACAGAUGAUGCCUAUCAACUGUUUAAAAGAUGGUUCUGCUAUCACUCUUGGAUGGACCUGCGGUGCAUUAGCUAGUUGGUAGGGUAACGGCCUACCAAGGCGAUGAUGCAUAGCCGAGUUGAGAGACUGAUCGGCCACAUUGGGACUGANACACGGCCCAAACUCCUACGGGAGGCAGCAGCC